GCUAGUGAGGAUUAAAGCGUCUCUUGAGGCGGGGAGAGCGGCUCGGCUCCUGCCUUUGCGCAGAGACCUGUGGGAAAUGUAGGAACAUGCAGGGCUCCGGUCCAGCUGGCGCUCGCGUUUCUCCGGCUCUGGGGGUCGCGGGUGGAGCAGGAUCGGUGGGGAAGAGGAGGGCCUUGGCUUCUCCACUGGAACAGGUGGCGCUGCGCAGGAGCAUCUACCCACCUACCUCUUGCUUAUCCCAUGCUGGAAUCUCCCUUCUACCCUACAGUCCCGAGAAUUCUUUAGAUUUCAAUGAAGCAGUUUUUAAAGAGACCUGCUGAGAAAUGGGGAAAAUAUUUUAAAAAGAAAUAAAAGACAACGGCUCUAAGUUAGCCCCCUUGCUCUGCUGCUCAUCGGACGCUUUAUGAGGGUACAGAGAACCGUGGCGCUGCGCAUAUGGGGGAUCCAUUUUAUGACAGGACUUCCUUCCGGCAGUUACUUCCGCCCGCAGGGAGCGUCGGGAGUUCUUGCGGGUGUUCUCCACCAUAAUUGGCCUCAAGUGAGGUACCAAGACCCUGCGCCCCAGCCCAAAUCUUAUGUCUGCCCUGGAGGACAUUUGUUCUGCCCGGCUGCAGUGGCGUCGUUCUCAUUUCACGGAGAGGAAACUGAGCGUGUGGUGGAUAAAGGGUUGUCCACCUGCCCAGCUUAUACCGACAGUUGUAAAGUCAGAACUCUGUACAGUCGGAACGAAUUCCGAUGGUCUCAGACCUGUCCUGUCCACUUCGUAUGGUGUUAAUCGCCUUUUCUCAGGUGUGCUGCUGCUGCCCUAGUUUUAAACCACGGACACCCUGGCUAUCCUAACAGUUUUAUCCAUCCAGUAUUUAUUGAGGGUUUGCUAAAUGCCUGGCGUUGUGUGUGCUGGAUGCUGGGGACACGGUUUUGAAUGGGGCAGACACAACCCCACCCUCACGGAAUUUAUAAUCUAAUAGGGAAGACAGACAUUGAUUACACAACACAAACAAGAAUAAAAUUUCAAGCUGUGCUAAACAGAAAAAAGAAACAGGGUGCUACAAGAGAGAAUAACGGAGGGAGCUAUAAAUAGGUUGGGAGAUGAAGGAAAGGAAGAACGGCUUGACCUGAGACCUGAAAGCAGAGAAAAUAGAAACUUUGUAACAGCAAAGAAGAGAGUGAUCCAGACCGAGGGAACAUCCCGUGCAAGGGCCCCGCAGCUGCCUCGGGCUUCCUCAGCUACUGCAGUUGGCUUCUAGAAUCCCUCCUUUUCAUUGUGGACAAAUAAUGGCUUAUGCCAUUCAAUGGAGAUUACUGGAACCAGUGCUUUAUAACCACCUCCUCCAUCCUGACCCUUUGGGGGUGUGCCCAGGGACAGCUGCAAAACCAAGAGAAAAUUGAUGCUUCCAGAGCCUCUGUUUACUGGAUAACAAGCCUCCGCUCUUCAUUUUUCAUGAACAUUUCUCCCUGCUAUUCUUUCAACGAGGUCUGGGAACAAUGCAUUUCUCGGUCCUGUGCCUGGAGCUCUUCUGCGGAUACG